rnacentral:tmRNA from 1 species
UCUCUUCCAUUUGCCCCGAAGAGUGCCUAUAUUCGACCUGUCGGCUUGACCGACUAUGGUGAUAAAUGGGCGAUGUAAUAAGCCGUUCGGACCCGGGGGCGGUACCCGGCGCCUCCACCAAAAACUGUCGUGACGGACAGCUUUUGCUGGGGGCGAAACAGGAUCGACGAAGGUGUAAAGAUCGUACUUUUGCCCGGCAUUGUACCACCGUCAUCGGGCUAACUCAGUAGUUGCAAACGACAACUAUGCGGAAGCACGUCUCGCUGCGUAAUGCGGUGCGAUAGCUUCAAAUAAACUCCUGAGGGUUCGCACCUUCAGGCGGGGUUCGGAGGUACCUGGCAACAGAAACCUCCACU